rnacentral:rRNA from 1 species
AUGAGUUGACCUGAUGGGAUCAACAUCCCCGACGGCAAGUUCUACCUUGGAGAUGCUGGCUAUGCAUGUCGGCCAGGUAUUCUUCCACCCUUCAGGAAAACAAGGUACCAUCUCAACGAGUUCUCUGGUAGGAACUUUCCUAGGACUGCACAGCGGCUGCUUAAUUUCAGACACUCCAGCCUUAGAGUAACUGUUGAGAGGGCAUUUGGAGCUCUGAAGAAUAGGUUUAAGAUCCUGGAUCAGAAGCCAUUCCAUCCAUACUCCACUCAAGUUAAGCUAGUUCUUGCUUGUUGCAUUCUGCAUAACUGGAUCCUCCAGUGGGGCUUUGAUGAACACGUGCCUGAGGAGGAAGAGGUCAAGCCUGACGAUGUUGUUAGCUCUGGCCAUGGUGUGGAGGCGUUUGACAAUGACGGUUGUAAGAACAAAAGGUUGGAGUGGGAGAGGCAAUGUGGCUUAACAGAAGUCAGUGCAGGAUUUGAAGAAGAGGAAGAAGAAACAGCAGCAGCAGAAGCAUAG